UUCUGCAAGUACUCAUGUUCCGACUGCAACUUCGACUCCAAGUACUUCAACUCCUCAAAUUCCAACUCCAACUCCUCAAGGUUCGAGUACUCCAACUCCAACUCCUCAAGGUUCGAGUACUCCAACUCCAACUCCAAAUCAAAUUCCAACUCCAACUCCAACUCCUCAAGGUUCGAGUACUCCAACUAUUCAAGUACCAACAACAAUGGGUGAAUCUAAUUCCGACUCCGACUCGGACCUCAGAGAUAAUGAUGGUAACUAACUAAUUAUAAUCGAUGUGUAUAUUAUAUAAUUGAUUGAUUUAUGUGUAUUUAUCGACUCAUUAUUUUUUAUUUCAGAAUUGAGUCUACCAAACAGAGGAGGUAGAAACUUAGAUCAUCCGGAAGAUCACCCCAAACAAAGUGAAAGAUAUAAAAUAGAAUGGGAGCCAACACACAUGCAACUAACUGGACAUCUGCGUAAGAAAUUUAAUGCUAUGAUCAAUAGAGUCGCAAAAAUGCAUACAAUUUUUCCAUUGAAUGUGAACUGGCCGAAACAAAC
rnacentral:lncRNA from 1 species